AUGUCCCUUGAAUGGAAAGAUGAUGGCCGCGAUGCGCCGACUACCGGUUGUUGUGGUUUUGGGAGCAACAGGCACCGGUAAAUCGAAGCUUGCAAUCGAACUUGGACAGAAAUUCAAUGGAGAAAUAAUCAGUGCUGAUUCAAUGCAGAUAUAUGAAGGUCUAAACAUCAUCACAAACAAAGUGACUUCAGCUGAACAACUCCAGUGUAGGCACCACCUCAUCGGCUAUGUCAACCCCUUCACCAACACAUCAAAUACUGUUGUCAACUUCAGAGACAAAGCUCUUCCUAUUAUAGAGAGGGUGUUUGCAGAGGGGAGACUUCCCAUCAUUGUGGGCGGCACCAACUACUACAUUGAGAGUCUGCUGUGGAAGUUCCUUGUUGAUCCACAGGUCCAUGAUAAAGGUCCUGAUGCAAAGAAACUGAGAAUGUCCGACUCCUGUCCAGUCACACAUGAAAGUGAGCGUCCACUGCCUCCAGGAGGUGGUACGUCUGCUCCAGGACAUCCGGCCACUAUUGAUGUCUCGUCCACAGGAUCUGAUGCUGCUCCUGUGGCUGAUGCAUCUUUUGAAGGGGAGGCAGCUCUGGAAGACACAGGGGAAGCAACUCUGGACAGAGGGAAGGUUGCUCAGGAAUGCUGUAAAACAGCAGCAAGUGACCGAGGAGCAGAUCGAGAAGGGAAAUUCAAAGAUAUUGACAGUUCUGAGCUUCACAGACAAUUGACAUUAGUGGAUCCUGUGACUGCGAAAAAGAUUCAUCCACAUAAUCGCAGGAAGAUUAUCAGAGCGCUGGAAGUGUACAGCCAACAUGGAGUUCCGCUCAGCGACAUCCUCAAGUCCCAGCAUGCAUCAGCAGGAGGCACAGACGCUCUCAGUGGACCAGUGAGAUAUGACAAGACUUGCAUCUUUUGGAUACAGUGUGAUCAGACAGUGCUGGACGCCCGUCUGGACGCCCGUGUGGACACCAUGAUGGAGCAUGGUCUUCUUCAGGAACUCCACGACUUCCACAGAGAAUACAGACAGAAGAUGCAAGGAGACUGUGAUUACACUCUCGGAAUUUUUCAAAGUAUUGGCUUUAAGGAAUUUCACAAUUACUUGUUGCUGCCAGAGCCUGAGAGCGACACAGUCAAAGGGAGACAACUGAGGGAUGAAGGUGUGGAGCUGCUGAAGUUGGCAACUCGCCAGUAUGCUAAACGGCAGAUCAAGUGGAUUCGGAACAGAUUCUUGAAACGCCCAGGACCUGGUGUGGUGCCAGUGUAUGGCGUCGACUCUACGGAUGUCAGUCUCUGGGCAGACAAUGUCUUGAAGCCUGCCUGUGACAUACUCUCUGCUAUAUUACAGGGGGAGAAUCCCGCCGUCCUGCCCCUGGAGGCUGGUGGUGCUCUGACAGAACAUGUCUACAACGUAUGUGACGUGUGUGCAGGACGGGUGUUUACCACUUUGCAGGAGUGGAACGCCCACACAAACAGUCGGAGACACAAGAGGGCACUCAGUAAACAGAGGAAACAGCUACGAAAGGCCGCCGUGCUCCACAGUGAUGAAGCUUGAGAGUCAAGAGAUUGAGGCAGGGGAAACGUCAUCACAUCCUGGGAGUGAGUGAAAGAGGGACAUCUUCACACUUCGUCACACGGCUUCCUGGGAGGGAGUGAAAUGGCUGUCUUCACACCGAGUCAGCAAGUCUGUCUUGGACGAGCAUCUUGGGAGGGAGUGAAAGAGAGACAUCUUCACACAAUGUCAGCAAGUCUGUCUUGUCUUCUCACAACUAUUGGAUAUGUUGGCAGUGAAGAGGACAUCUGUUGAAAAUGUGUAAAGUUUAUGGUGUGAAUUUAUGGCUAUGAUGUAGAGGUAGUGUUCUCAGAAUUAAGCAAAA
rnacentral:misc_RNA from 1 species